rnacentral:rRNA from 1 species
GACGAACGCUGGCGCCGUGCCUAAUACAUGCAAGUUGAGCGCUGAAGGUUGGUACUUGUACCAACUGGAUGAGCAGCGAACGGGUGAGUAACGCGUGGGGAAUCUGCCUUUGAGCGGGGGACAACAUUUGGAAACGAAUGCCAAUACCGCAUAAAAACUUUAAACACAAGUUUUAAGUUUGAAAGGUGCAAUUGCAUCACUCAAAGAUGAUCCCGCGUUGUAUUAGCUAGUUGGUGAGGUAAAGGCUCACCAAGGCGAUGAUACAUAGCCGACCUGAGAGGGUGAUCGGCCACAUUGGGACUGAGACACGGCCCAAACUCCUACGGGAGGCAGCAGUAGGGAAUCUUCGGCAAUGGACGAAAGUCUGACCGAGCAACGCCGCGUGAGUGAAGAAGGUUUUCGGAUCGUAAAACUCUGUUGGUAGAGAAGAACGUUGGUGAGAGUGGAAAGCUCAUCAAGUGACGGUAACUACCCAGAAAGGGACGGCUAACUACGUG